rnacentral:rRNA from 1 species
UACGUAGGGGGCUAGCGUUGUCCGGAAUUAUUGGGCGUAAAGCGCGCGCAGGCGGUCCUUUAAGUCUGAUGUGAAAGCCCACGGCUCAACCGUGGAGGGUCAUUGGAAACUGGGGGACUUGAGUACAGAAGAGAAGAGUGGAAUUCCACGUGUAGCGGUGAAAUGCGUAGAGAUGUGGAGGAACACCAGUGGCGAAGGCGACUCUUUGGUCUGUAACUGUCGCUGAGGCGCGAAAGCGUGGGGAGCAAACAGG